UUGGGAUUCUCCAGUUUUUUGGGUUUUCCAGUUUUGGGGAUCUUUAAUUUUGGAGGUUUCCAAUUUUUGAGAUCCCAAAUUUUGGAAUUCUCCAAUUUUUGGGGUCUCUGAUUUUUGGUGUCUCCAAUUUUUGGGGGUCCCAAAUUUUGGAAUUCCCCAACUUUUGGCCCCUCCAAAUUUUGGGAUCCUCCAAUUUUCAAUUCUCCAAAUUUUGGGAAGUCUCUAAUUUUGGGGGAAUCCCAAAUUUAGGGCUGUAAAACUCCCCAAAAAUCCAUUUCCCCCCCCAUUUCUGACCUUCCCAGCCGUUCCCAGUUUGGCUUUGAGCUUCAUCCCAUAAAACUCCGAAAUUCCCGCCGGGAUUUUCCCGCUCCGGCUUUUCCCGGGAAUUUUGGGGGCCCGGUUCAGGUGGGAGCCCCAAAAUCCGGAAUCCUCCUCCUGCAACGACACCAAAAUUCCCAAAAUUCCCCCCAAAGCUGCUCAAACGCAGCCCAAAAUCCCAAAAAAAAUCCAGAAAUUUCUGGAAUUCCAGCCCAAAAUCCCAAAAAUCCCCCCAAAUUCCAGCCCAAAAUCCCCCAAAGCUGCUCAAACACAGCCCAAAAUCCCCAAAAUUCCCCAAAAUCCCAAAAGUUCCCAGCCCAAAAUCCCCAAAAUUCCCCCAAAGCUGCUCAAACACAGCCCGAAAUCCCCAAAAAUUCCACAAAUUUCCGAAAUUCCAGCCCAAAAUCCCCAAAAUUCCAGCCCAAAAUCCCAAAAAUCCCCCAAAUCUCUGAAAUUCCAGGCCAAAAUCCCAAAAUUCUCAAUUCUAAAUCCCAAAAUCCCAAAAAUCCCCAAAAAUCCCAGCCCCAAAUCCCAAAAAAUUCCAAAUCCCAAAAUCCCAAAAAUCCCCAAAAAUGCCCAGCCCAAGAUCCCAAAAUCCCCAAAAAUCCCAAAAUUCUCAAUUCCAAUUCCCCAAAAUUUUCCCAAAUCCCCAAAAAUCCCCUAAAAAUCCCCAAAAUCCCAAUCCUAAA
rnacentral:lncRNA from 1 species